AGCGAACGCUGGCGGCAGGCCUAACACAUGCAAGUCGAACGAACCCUUCGGGGUUAGUGGCGGUCGGGGGAGUAACACGUGGGACCGUGCCUUUAGGUUCGGAAUACCUCAGGUACACUUGUGCUAAUACCGAAUGUGCCCUUCGGGGGAAAGAUUUAUCGCCGUUAGAGCGGCGCGCGUCGGUUUAGCUAGUUGAUUGUGGUAAUGGCGCACCAGGGCGACGAUCAGUAGACGGUCAGAGAGAAAGAGCAGCCACAUUUGUAGUGAGACGCGGCCCAAAAUCCUACGCGAGGCAGGAGAGGGGGAUCCUGCGAAAUGGGCGAAAGGCUGACGGAGCCAGGCCGCGUGAACGAUGAAGGUCGUAGGAAAGUACAAUUCUUUCACCGGGGACGAUAAUGACGGUACCCGGAGAAGAAGCCCCGGCUAACUUCGUG
rnacentral:rRNA from 1 species